GAAAAUGAUGAUUUUUUUUUUAGGAAUCUCGUUCGUCUGAACUGCUGAUGAGAAGCGAAAGUCUGACAUCA